rnacentral:rRNA from 1 species
CCCCUAGAUGUUCUGGGCCGCACGCGCGCUACACUGAACAGUUCAACAAGUCUUAACCUUGGCCGAUAGGUCUGGGUAAUCUUUGAACGCUGUUCGUGAUUGGGAUAGACCUUUGCAAUUAUGGGUCUUCAACGAGGAAUUCCUAGUAAACGCAAGUCAUCAGCUUGCAUUGAUUACGUCCCUGCCCUUUGUACACACCGCCCGUCGCACCUACCGAUUGAAUGGUCCGGCGAAGCCUCCGGAUUGGCGCGCACCUCGGUGCCGCCGAGAAGUUGGCUAAACCUUACCAUUUAGAGGAAGGUGAAGUCGUANCA